rnacentral:rRNA from 1 species
GACAGAGGUGCCGAGCGUUAGGCGGAAUCACUGGGCUUAAAGCGUGUGUAGGCGGGUCCGGAAGUACCUUGUGAAAUCCCACGGCUCAACCGUGGAACUGCUGGGUAUACUGGUUGUCUUGAGCCAGCUAGGGGCGAGCGGAACAGACGGUGGAGCGGUGAAAUGCGUAGAUAUCGUCUGGAACGCCGAAGGUGAAAACAGCUCGCUGGGGCUGCGCUGACGCUGAGACACGAAAGCCAGGGGAGCGAACGGG